AAAAGGAUGCCCAUUCCUCUGGGACAGUGUGGGUCUGCCCCACAGCACAAGCCUGGCAGGCCAAGUGCACACUCUUAACCUGGUGAUAUCUUGCGCUGUACCCAGCAGCCCUGGAGAAGUGUAAAACUCUGCAAAAAGAAGUUUGACUCAAAUAGCAAACCAGUGAUGAUUAUGGAUGAGAUUCAGAUGAUAAUCAAUUAAGAAGCCCUGAUGCUCAAGAGAACAAAGCGGGUGAAAUGAUAUCUGGCUUCAAUGCUUACAUUCCUUCCACUAUGCUUGCUGCUCUCUAAAUCUGGAAGGGUUUGUGAGAAGUUACAAAUUAGUCCCAGAAUGUGCCAAGACUAUCUCUAUGGGAUGCAGCCUGGUAUAAAUCUUUCAGUGGCUUCACCAGAACCAAACAGUUCGGACUGUUGUAGUCAGAUUAUCAUGUGAAGCAAGGUCAGCCAGAGGGCUACCAUGGAAGAAGGUUAGACUAUGCCCCUCUUCCUUUCCUGGGUAAUGUGGGAUUUAAGGACUGUUUAAGACCCCUUUAUUCAUCUCCUUAUAGAACUGGAGACCAUCAUUAUUACCCUUAUGGUCUAUGUACAGUGAAAAACAGAGCUAUCCUCUUGGGACUGUCAGAGCCACUCUUGUUACUGAAUUUCCCUCUUUCUGUACAAGGGAGGAAGAAUCCUCCAGUGUGUGGCAGACAUCCUUGGAGGCAUUCUGUCCAUCAUUGUUGUGGUCCAUGUACUGUGGCUAGUCCAUCACUCAGUCUUAGGAUAACCAAAUUCAAAGCCACAUGAGCCAUCAAACCAUCUGUGUAUUUAAGCAGGGUAUGUGUGAAUGUGCUACAGUCCACUUUUGGGGCUAAAUUUCAGUAUGAAAUGCUGCCUUAUGAAUAGACUGGAUUACAUAAGUUGUCACCCAAAUGUAUAUUCAUUAACCAACCAAUUAGUUUUAUUAUGGUAAACCUAUAAAGUCUGUUCAGAAAA